GGCUGAAGGGUUAAUUUGAAGGGAAAGCAACCCCAGCAGCUGGGAGCAUAAAAAUUGAGAAGGAAGCAUUGAGAGCCUAAAGGAAGGCAGAGGUAGGCAGGCUUGGCUGCUGCUAUUUCUGGUCCCUUCUCCAGAACCAAGGGGUGGAGCUGGCUGCGACACUGGAAAUGAUAUAUAGCACUACAGGGGGUGACCUGCUUGAACACCCCAAUAAAACAUGGUGGUGGUGAAGGAGAUCUGAAGUGAUGUGGUCUGUGACUAAGGCCUGAAAGGACUCUCUGAGAACCACCCCAUGACAGACAAUAAGCCAUUGUACUGCAGACCUUAUGAGUUGUCACACUGAAGUCAAUGGGACUACUUAUGUGAGUCGGGGCUGGAGGAUAGGAUCUCAAUCUGUGUGAAUGAGUCAGCAGCACAAUAUUUAAGUUUUCUGUCCAGAUCACUUCAAGGAGGAAAAGAAUGAGAGCUCUUCUGUCAAGGGGAAAAGGAUCUAUAAUAUAUGUGACACCUCCAUCCUAUGGGGCAUCAGGAUAUUUUUAGGCCUUCUUAUUUUAGGCUGUCAGGAGUUCAGUGAGGAUCCAGGAAAUACUAGUUUCAUCAGAACAAAGAAACAGAUGCCACUCAUUCCAAGACAAUAGAUAGUGAGGUGAAGGCAGCAGUCCUGUAUCCAGAGAGAAACAGAUUCCUCACUGAUCUGAUUGGGUUUCAGACAAUUUCAUUCACUGACAUUCUGGGUAUGUUGGAGGGCUUGGUGCUGCUACCUGGAAUUUGGAUGUGUGCUCCUGAUUACUAAAAUCAAGUGGGAUCAAGUUGGGUCUAUUGCUGG